GGGAACGUACCUUUUGGUUCGGAACAACUGAGGGAAACUUCAGCUAAUGCCGGAUAAGCCCUUACGGGGAAAGAUUUAUCGCCGAAAGAUCGGCCCGCGUCUGAUUAGCUAGUUGGUAGGGUAAUGGCCUACCAAGGCGACGAUCAGUAGCUGGUCUGAGAGGAUGAUCAGCCACAUUGGGACUGAGACACGGCCCAAACUCCUACGGGAGGCAGCAGUGGGGAAUAUUGGACAAUGGGGGCAACCCUGAUCCAGCCAUGCCGCGUGAGUGAUGAAGGCCCUAGGGUUGUAAAGCUCUUUUGUGCGGGAAGAUAAUGACGGUACCGCAAGAAUAAGCCCCGGCUAACUUCGUGCCAGCAGCCGCGGUAAUACGAAGGGGGCUAGCGUUGCUCGGAAUCACUGGGCGUAAAGGGUGCGUAGGCGGGUUUUUAAGUCAGAGGUGAAAUCCUGGAGCUCAACUCCAGAACUGCCUUUGAUACUGGGAAUCUUGAGUAUGGAAGAGGUGAGUGGAACUGCGAGU
rnacentral:rRNA from 1 species